ACUGCUUUUCUUCCAACAAAAUUAUUAUUGUUAUUCCUAAUACCAACUGUUUGAUGAUAUAUGCUAUUACCUGCAAAUGAGCACUGUAACAAUAGUCUCCAUUACAACAAAAUAUUACAAUAUCCUAUGGACCAUUUGAAGCCCAUGUUAAAGAACACAUUUGGCAGCAUGCAUGUUAACUUUUUCCAUGGAAAAACUGUGUGUCUGCUGAGAAUCAGCCUUAAACCCAAUAUAUAUAGACUCAUAUGCAUGGUUCUUUCUCUGUCACAUACAAUUGAAGAGAUGAUUCAAGUAUACAAAAUUACUCUCUCAUCCCUUUGAUACAUUAAGUUUCAAAAUACCAAAUUAAAAGAAAGCCAUUUCACAGAUCAAUCUUUCACUAAAUGCAACAGUUUAAAUGUUCUAUUGUUGAAUCUUAUUUUUCAUCAGUGAAGCAUAAAUAUGUUCUACGUGCUACAGAUAGAGAAGCAAUAGCUCAUCAAAGGCUAGUAUACCACCAAUUCCAUCUACAUUUAGGAUUUAUGCAAAUAACUGGAUAUUUGAAAUGACAUAUGAAAAUAAAUGUACCAAAGACAUGAGUGUGCACAAAAAAUAAUCAUACAAAGUACAACACUAAAUUUCUUCCAAUUUUUGUCCUUUAAAUAGAUGGACCAAAAGAAGAGAUAAAAAAGGGAAGCAAAUAGAGGAAGAAGAAAGCAAAAUGAAAUAAUUUAAUCCAUGGUGGAUCUCAUGAACGUCAUUUCUGUUAUUGAAUUAAACAACAUUGAAUGAAUCUGUAACCAGUCCAUAUGCUUUGGAAAUUCUCUUAUUCUUUUUUUUUACCAAAACUAUUUUCCAGCUGAAGCACAUCAACAGAUUGCACCUUUGCAAUUCAGUAGCCUAUAAUGAAAACCUCAUAUCUCAGAAAAGCUAUGUGUGGUUUUCUCACUUAACAUGUUUGCCUACCAAUAUACAUGGUUUCUGUUUUUCCUUACUAGAGAAUGGUACGAGGUUUCCUACCUAAUAAGGCAAUAUCUUUUUUUUUUUAAUGAGAUUUUCAUCCUAAGCUGACAAUUUACAUUACUCUCCUUUGAUGUUUUGAGUAUUUCUGAGUAGAAGUAUAUUUUUUAUUUGUAACUACCUUGUGUUAUAUGAAUGAGAAACUGAUGUGUGACAUGCUUUGUGGUAUGAACGAACAUCUAAAUAAAGUGGAUAAAUGUGUGUCCUUAAUGUUAGUACCAAUUUUACCACCAGACUGAAAGAAAAACCAAUAAAACUGCAUCAAGCAUGAAGCACAGAAUUUAAUGGUUCCCCACAUAGUGUAAACUGUGUGUCAUACAAUUUUAAGUUGAAUUAUCAAACAAUAAUAACUGUUACAACAGCUACACUUGAGGGAUUAAGCAACGUUUUGUAACUCUGCAAAAAAUGAUAAUUUACAACAUAAACUGAUUUAGCAGGCACUCUUAGUUAAACACGGGAAAAAAUUAUUCUGUUAUAAUUCCACUUUUCACAUAAACACAUACCUUUUUAUAAAAUUUCCUUUCUGAUGUUCAGAGCUUUUAACAGUAGCUUAUUCAUGGAGAGAUACCAUCAUGAGUUUUGGACACAUAACAUCUAGUAGAAAAACUGAUAUUCUUUCACUGACUGUUUCCAAAACAGUAAACAGUAGAACUCUAGGUAUGUUUCCGGAGAAAAAGAAGCUAUUUGGUGCAAUGUGAAGGAUAUUAAAUCACAGCACAUUUAAAUAUUGUGUGUAUAAUUGAUCUGUAGGCAUAGCUUAUCAGUGAGAUAAUGAAACUUUCAAUUUGUUCUUAAGAGUUAACACAGCUUCAGGUCACCUACUGAACACUAAACAGUUGUUUAAUGCAACAGUAUCACAUUUUAUAUACAGCAUUAUCAAAAUGUGCAACUUAAACCUGUAUGAGAAGGUCAGUUAAAUUAACAGCAAUAACAAUGACUACAAACCAACAGUACAUACUUAUUUUGUAAAAUGAAGUGAGAGUUUUCAACAUGAAUGACAUAUGAACCACUGAAUAAAGCUUUCAUGGCAGAAUUUUAGGAACUCAAGAAAAUUUAUUUGUUCAAUUCACACAACUUUUAUUGUAUCAAUUUCUUUGUACAUAAUGUUUCUUUAACUGCAUAAUCCUACAAUCUUAGGAAGAAAAUAUUCUGAUAUAUCAAGCACACGCCCAUGUAAUUAGCUGUAAUACAGUGAUAUUACAUUCCUUCGUAUCUUCAAUGACUAUUUGCUUUUAACGAAGUGAAAAUUAUUCCAGGCUUUCUUCUAAAGGAUUACUAGAACACUUCUCAUUUUAUCACAAAUAAAGUUCUUGAAAACUGUGCAGUCUAAGACGUCUCACAUUCGUUCAUAUGGAGAUUCCAAAGCAAUUUAAGUAAGGUCACUUACUGUAUAUGAAGACUAACAUAUUACAAAUUGCUAAUAUGUAAAUAUUGUCACUUUCUAAAUUGUGCUUUCACACAGCUCUAGCUCAAAAUGAAAAUGAACCCUGGCAGUUUCCUCAAGAAGGCUUUCACAUAAAUUCUCUAUGUACUCGCAGAAAGUGUAACAGCUUCCUGAAUAUUACUAUAAUAUUCACAAAAGUGACAUUUAGCUAUUUAUUUACAAGCCCAAGUCUGAAAACAUGAGCUUUCAAAUUUGUUGAUCUAAUGUUUCCAUAGAAGUAUUUCACACAAAGUUUAACAUCAUUCUGUGACUAGUUAUUUGUGCAUAGACAGGUAAGAUACUACUCACACUCAAAACAUAAUGCUUUUAAGCAACAGAAAUAAUCAGAUUUAACAUUCUGACAUAGAUUCUUAGAAUAUAUGCCAGGUACAAAUUUCUUUUGUACGUAAAAAUAAUUUAUCUCAAAGAAAUACACCAAUUUAUAUUCAUUUCUUGAAGGAAAAUAAGUGUUUAUACAAAGGGUAUUUGGAUACCAGAUUUACAUAAAUUAUUUAAACUUCAAUCAUAUCAAAGCCAGUACAUAUCCUAAUUAUACAGGACCUCAGAAAGCACCAAUGUGAAGCUGUAAAGAACUUCUCUAUAAACAGAUCACAUGGUCUACAUACUUCCUUUGAAAAUUUCAUCACUGAAAGCAGAUACACCAACCACAACCUGAUGCAUUAUAUUUUUCCUACUAAUAAUGCACUGGAAGACCAAUAUGAAA